rnacentral:rRNA from 1 species
UGGGGGAUAUUGCACAAUGGGCGAAAGCCUGAUGCAGCGACGCCGCGUGGGGGAUGAAGGCCUUCGGGUUGUAAACUUCUUUUGCUCUGAACAAGGCAUGCCUUUGGGGUGUGUUGAGUGUAGGGGUUGAUUAGCGCCGGCUAACUACGUGCCAGCAGCCGCGGUAAUACGUAGGGCGCGAGCGUUGUCCGGAAUUAUUGGGCGUAAAGGGCUUGUAGGUGGCUGGUUGCGUCUGUCGUGAAAGCUCAUGGCUUAACUGUGGGUAUGCGGUGGGUACGGGCUGGCUUGAGUGCAGUAGGGGAGGCUGGAAUUCCUGGUGUAGCGGUGGAAUGCGCAGAUAUCAGGAGGAAUACCGGUGGCGAAGGCGGGUCUCUGGGCUGUUACUGACGCUGAGGAGCGAAAGCGUGGGGAGCGAACAGG